CGUCCAGCCCAAUGUUGACCAGCGGCCGACAAAUUGACGACCUUCUUUCUCACCAAAUUUUAAGCUCUUCUCGGUCAACUAAAUCGCGGGUUUGCACUCAUGUUCCGGCGCACAGGCGUGAUCAGUUAGACAAAGGUUAUGUCAUCCUUUGCAGCUUUUCGACGGGUGCAUUCAGGCUAGCGGUGGAACACAAUCAGCGACUUUGACUUCAACUGCGCUGGUUUUUGCAGUCAGUUCCGCUGCCUUGGUUAUGUUCCGGAGUUGGCGGGUGCGGGUUCAGGCGGUGAAUGAGCCUGGAGGAGGUUUCCGCCGUUGAUCGCGACAAAAAGGGUGUAGCGAAAGUGCACAAGAAUCAAGCCAAUCGUGCCAAAGACCGCGUCCCGGCGGGGUUCAACUUGAGGACACAAUAAUCGACGGCCAGCACGCGUCGUCCGGCCUGAAAAUGCAAUUUUUUAGUAAAAGCUUGUAGCAAAUCUAAACAAAUAAAGCAAAGUAAAAAAUAUAAGUUACCUUUCAAAUCUACUCUCGAUCAACAAGGUGACAAUCUGGGAGCGUUUCUUGGCCUGCCGAUUUGACAAACAACCCGGAACAAUCCCGGAAAAGCCGACCACAAAGCACUCUUUCGCGACAGAGCCAACGUGCACGCCAUGUUUUUUUCGUUUGACAGAACUGACGAAAAAUUCGCAAACAUGAAAGAGCGAGAUAGCAUGCUUUGCGAAAUUUCGGUUAAAAUCAAAAGCUUGCUCUCUCUUUCACUCUAACGCGCAGCAUACCAGUUCAUCGAACUGAUCGAAAAACAUCGUUGCCUUACAAAACAUCGUGGGUUUACGGACUUUCGAUCUGGGUCGUGGGUUUACGGACUUUCGAUCUGGGCUGUACGUUAGUGUGAAAGAGAAGGCAUGAUUUGUAUUUUCAUCGAUGUUUCGCUGAGCAGGCUAUCUCACUCUUUCGCGAUUGCGAAAAUUCGGAAGAACUGUCAAACUGCCAAACAACCAUCUUGUUUUUGGAAAAGUUUUUUCAAGUCGCGUGCUCUUGGCAAAUUCUUAGUUUGGUGAGCUAGGUAAUCAUUUUAUUUCUUAGUUUGUUUGUUUAAUUUAAGUUCUUCUGCUUCAAGCCGUGCCAAUCUCCUGCUAAAGCAGACAAGUCCGUCCCUGCAUCGUUGACCGGAACCUGCCGGCAAGUUGUGACUCCCGGAUGGACACGGACCCAGCAAUCACGACCCCAGAACAAAACGGGGACGACAUGAACCAGCCCUACGAGCCGCACCGGACCUGGUCGACAUGUCCACGUUAAUCAGUGACGCCAAGCUAACCACCAUAAUCCCCAUUGGACGGUUCCUGUUCCGGCAGCUGCCAUCAGUUCCAGUAAGCCAUGGGUGAAUUUUCCGGCUGCGAAAUGUUCCGGCGUGGCCAACCUGCAGAGAACGGUGCUAAUUCGUUUGGGUCGUGAGUCCAAGAGCGAUAACGGGACCACCACCAAAACUUCGGAAGUUCGCAGCGGAAUCGGUGACGUUAAAGAAAAUCAACAGGUGCAACGAGCUCAAUGAACUUGAAUCCGUCCACGAAGAUGAAUCUGCUACAGGAGAUCCAAACCUAGCGCUGUCUAAAUUUCUGGUGGGCAAUCGGAACGCGGAACAGUUUAGUUUACCUAAUCGUGUCCACGAACAACAUUUUCAACAGGCUGAUGCCGUCCGGAACCGGCACGAGGCAGGAUCUUAACUCUACAAGUUUCCUCAUAAAGUCGCUGCACGCACCAGACCCGACAGACGGUUGGCACCCUCAUCUAGAGCAACAGGGGCCGUUCCACGUUCCUGGAAAUUCACUUCCAGCCGCAAUCCGGCGACACUAAGCGAAGCGGCGGUGGCCAACAUCAGCCACUGAACUUGGUGCCCGGAAGCGCGCAAAAGUUGCGGAAAAGCGUUAGCCAUCGAAAAACUGACCACGGACCACGGAAGGUCGUCAAAUCUCGCUGGCCAAAAAUCUGCGAGACGUGUGCGACAAAAUGGUCUUAGUCGGUGACUUGAGCUGGUCAAAUCGAGACAUCGAGACAAAUUCAAUAACCGGAACAUGACAAUACAGAUUCUUAGAACAUCACGACUCCAAGCUUAAUUGCUUGUUCGAUCUUACUCGGACCAGAAUCAGCUGCAUCGACACCAAGGUGUGUACCGAUAUGAUUGCCCCGCAACCUUGUCGGUUAGGAAAGAUUCGUUUCGACUGCAACGAUGUCGUGCGCUUGAAACCACGCUUCCGGACGUAGAAGUGGCCUGAUCAGCGUGGUACUUCCGAAGAAGCAAAUGCCAGCAAGAACAGUGCAAGUGCAGCUGCUGGCUGAACCGGUGCCGUCCGUGCCGUCGCAAUUUCCAGCUUAACGGUCUUCAGCUCGCCCACAGUGGCCGGUUUAAACGAAAGAUUCUGGUUCAUUUCCGUUGUGGAUGCUUGGCGCAAUCCGGAAUUCACACCUAGAACGGCCAUGGCUCUACAAAUGUCCUCGGAACAGGCUUUAAUGACGGUCACGGCUCUGUAGUCGCCGACGGGAACGAAGAAGAUGAAAACUCCAGUAACUCAAUUGUUACGUAGAGGAUGGUACUCACCCGCGUGUAACACCCCCAAAUAAGUCCAGCACCAGCUGAAGAAAGUCAUCAAACCGUCGCUCGCCGACCAACAUUGUAGAGAACGUGCGCGGGAACAUGGCCACGGCCGGGGUCGGGAAGCCUAAACGCAUCUUCACCGGCAGCUCUUUUUAGUUCCCGCAUCAGAGGCAGCAAACGACGACUUGAACGAAAAACAACCGGUUGAUACGACCAAAAUUCCGCUCAUGCACGAGUGGCAUGGCAUGCUGCGAAUGUCACCGGAGGAACGGGAACGAAUUUCAAAGAAGACCCGGAACCUAUUACAGAUCAACCGGUGGGCUGCCAACUCGUCAACCUUGGCCAGCGGUAACGACUUCCCUGCCUUACUUCCGUAGAAUGUCAUGGGAUGACAAUUUUAAGAUCAAAAUGUAUGGUUCUGACAGAUUCUUCUCUUUGGCCCUUUAAGUGACAUAAUACGCACCGGCACAAGUUCACCGCCAAUUUCACAAGCACCAGUACCAUUAUCUACCACAGUUGUACCCCCGCGCAUCGUCGGUGGCCGGAGAAAGUAAAAGAUUUAAAGCCCGUGGGGGAGGGACAGAGCAACCCGGUCAAAAUGUCCACGUUCAUCAGUGUUGACAAGUUCAUUACCGAAACAUACCCAUCGGACCAUCUCCGGCAGCUGCCAUUAGUAGAAACGACACGAUCCUGGAGCGCUUGGCCAGUGGCCGCUGGAGACCAUUUUCUGGACACCACCGUCUAGUGACCGGACCGGACCACGCAACGUAAUCCCGCUUGGAAGGCUCAUGAACUUUUCAAACAAAGCCUGGUCCAAGGUCAUCAAGUCCCAAUAAAGAUCACCGGUUCCGAUAGAUUCGCCGAAGGAACACUUCCGUUAAGUCCAAAACAACGGAACUGGUGUAGUGGAAAUCGAACAGCUGGUGGUGACCGGGAGCACCACAAAACUGCGUCGAGAUUCGCAAGUUGGAGUCCGGAAACGCCCAGAAUCUGUAAAACUGGUCACAUCCGCGCGCCAGAACCACAGUGUAUACUUGCGAACGCCUGUAAACGCAGGAACAAAAGAUGAGCUUCAAGUUUGGCAAGAAGUAGCACCGCCAGGCUAGCCAACAAUGUGAAGGAAGUGCGCGAGAAUAUGGCCAAGGUCGGUGAACCGCCGGAAGGCGGCUUGCUACCACAUUUGCACUGUAUUCCAAGUUUGGUCGUCAACAAGUUUUCAACACUACUCAUUCCGGUGUUGAAGCGUUCCAGAAAGUUCAACCUCCCCAUCGUCUAGUUCCUGUCCGUCCGAUGGUCAAUAUGGUGGACAUCCUGCUGCUGACCGGUUGCCCCGAUACCGGCGAAACGAACCCACUCCAAUCCGGCGAACUUAACAAGUCGCUUCCAUUUUUUUGGUUCCAACACCAGAGGCAGCAAAAGUAAAACUAAAUUCCUUCAAGAAUUGAAAAAUGUAUAUUUUUGUCGAAUAAAGUGAAAAAACGCGAAAAAUAAACUUAUUGUUUCAAUCAAAACAAAUUAUGAGUUUGACAGAUGACAGAAAAAGAAGAAGAAGAACCUAAAAAGAGAGGUUGAUGCGCGUCCGAUUUUCCACCUUUACGUCGUUCUUACAUCGGCCCCGCAUGUAGGCCUCUUGCGAUGUUCGAACAACCUUGACAGGUUGACGUUUCGGGUGCAAAAUACCUUGAUUCGGGUCUGAUGCGUGUCUCAAAAUCAGGUAGGUCUGAUCGUCGUUCUUAUGAUCAGACCCGAUCGGCCACGUAUUUCUUACUGGGCAUUUUCAUGAACGCUUGUACACGAUUUUGGGAACUUUUUUUUCUCCGUGUAACUAUUUUGACAGCUGGAAACCCAACAUACCUUACUAAUCUACAUACCUGGCCAGUGUGGCACUGAUGCCCAGUAGGGUGACAAGAAAAAAUGAAAAUUUUGGAAAAUCUGAAGAGAUACCCCCUGGAUCGAUUCUUUCGGCAAUAAUAAGUUACUGUGCCAAUUUUGAGUCAAAUUGGUUAAGGCUAAGCGGUCGCUUUUUAUCGUUUAAGUUUAUAUGGAAAAAAUCGCAAAAAUGUAUGGGGAAAAACAUCGCUUCAGGAUUUUGGCAGCAGGUGGCGCAGGUCUUGCCCAAAAUUGUCCAAGUGUGAGA